CUGUUGCUAUCUGUCUUGCUUCUUCCCUGCGCUAUAUAUGACCGUUAUUGUGUCGAUGUGGUACUCUUUACUCAAGAUCAAGCUCAGACUAAAACUCCAGCCUCAUUCCAACCAAAUCCCUUCUUCUUAUAAUUUUCUACUAAAAAGGGCAUGUGGAAGUUUUGUGAAAAUGUAUACCUUUAUAACACAAAUAUCGCUCGACAUGUAAACCUCUACAUGGGGCGUUUCGUUAGCUCAGUUGAUAUAUCACGGUGGACUACCGGGAAAAAACGGUCGUGGCUCGGACCCCUGACUGUGGGUUCUUGAACUUUGUGGAGUUUGAAAUUGAUACUUUUCCCCUUCUUAUUGUUGUUUCAAUCUGUCUGUUUGUCUUUCAAAUUUUUUUUUCUUGAGUGAUGAAUUGCAUUAUCCUUCUCUUUACUGAAACUGAAAGAUAUUUCUAAACGUUCUGAACAUUUUUAAAGUAACCUUGUAUACGCACGGUGGAAGAAUUUUAAAAUACCCCACCAUUCGCGUGCACUCUUUUCUUUCCUCGCCCGCUGGGACACCAAAACGUACCCGUAUAGAUAUCUAUGCUAAAUAAACGUUCUUUCUGUAGCCUCCGGAGGGUUAAGGUGGAACGAAAACCCUUCCUGACCCGACUGCUGAUGAUGUGAAGUGAAUUGAAGUGUGAGAGAGGGGGAGAAAGAAGAGUGAGAGGGAGAGAGGUUGGGGGGGGGCGGGGGAGAGUAUGUGUAGAUAUUAGCGUAGCGUACGUUCCUGUCUUCAUACUCUGUGGAGAGACUGCGGGAACAGAAUGGAAUUCACCAGCCUCUAUUCAGAGAGCGAGGAGUGUUGAGAGCAGCGCUGGCGUACUGUUUGAGCUGUGAGUGCAGUCUGCUUCUGCACGUGCGUGAUACGCCUAUGGCCAAAUGACACGACCCGCCCACUCAGGAUAUAAGACAAAGUCAUAACCACAAAGACAAAAAAAA